AGUGACGCUAGCCUAGGAGAUACACCUGUAACCAUGCCGAACACAGCAGUUAAGCCCUAGAACGCCUGAAGUAGUUGGGGGUUGCCCCCUGUUAGAUAUGGGAGUCGCUUAGCC
rnacentral:rRNA from 1 species